CGAGUCAGCUAAACGGUCGCAAGUCUGUGGUUCAAUUUGAAUCAUAGAUUUGAGGAAAGUCCGGGCUCCACAGAGCAAGGUGCCAGAUAACUUCUGGGCGGUGAAAGCCGACGGAAAGUGCAACAGAAAAUACACAGCCCUUCCACUUAAAAGAGUUCUCAAGUAAAUAUAUUUUAAAAAGCCAUAUAAAAAAUUUUUGGGAUAAGGUUUUUUACACAGUUGAUGAAACAACUCUUUUAAGUGGAGGGGUAAAGGUGAAAUGGUGCGGUAAGAGCGCACCGCGUGAUGAGUAAUUAUCACGGCAUGGCAAACCCCACCUGGAGUAAGGUCAAAUAGGAAUCAAGAAAGAGGCGGCUCGUCUCUCUAGCUAAUUAGCUCUAAGAUUCGGGUAGACUGCUUGAGCUGUGCAGCAAUGCAUAGCCUAGAUAGAUGACUGUUCAUGACAGAACCCGGCUUAUCGGCUGGCUUACAUA
rnacentral:RNase_P_RNA from 2 species